GAUGAACGCUGGCGGCGUGCCCAAUACAUGCAAGUCGAACGAAUCACUUCGGUGGUUAGUGGCGAACGGGUGAGUAAUACGUAAGCAACCUGCCUAUGGGACUGGGAUAACGUUUGGAAACGGACGCUAAUACCGGAUAGGUAGAGAGGAGGCAUCUCUUCUCUAUUAAAGUUUAGAUACACCGAUAGAUGGGCUUACGGCGCAUUAGCUAGUUGGUGAGGUAACGGCUCACCAAGGCGAUGAUGCGUAGCCGGACUGAGAGGUUGAACGGCCACAUUGGGACUGAGACACGGCCCAA
rnacentral:rRNA from 1 species